GGAAAACAAAAACAUUUCGUAGUACAGAACAAGCCAACAAAAACAUUUCAACACUAAAGUAAAACUGUAGCAAGCACAAUGGUUACACUACACUGUUUAGAUACCUAAUUGCUAAUUUAGGUUAUGCGGCUGAUGGAACCAAAAAAUAUAUAAAGAAUCUAUUUUCAAGUACUCCCUGGAACCAAAAAAUAUAUAAAGAAUCUAUUUUCAAGUACUCCCUCUGUAAACGGUCCAGUCCUAGCUAUGAGGACAUUACACAUCAGUAAGUUCCAUGGAGACGGUCUCCUUUCCUAUACCUAAACUAUGUAUAUAUGCCUCCAUGGAGAAGGACGAAGACGACACGACCCACAUCACCACAACACAGUUCUAGUUUCCUUGGUCCAUCCCCUUGCUUCUCUUCAGGUCUCUCUACCUUGGUGUUGUCAUGCUACUCCUGCGUUCCAGUCUAACAUUUAGCCAAUAUAAACUCACUGCUCUCUGUACAAGAGAGCAGUAAUAGGGUACAGAAGAAAAACUGGAACUUCACUUAUCCACUGAAGUGUGUAAAGCCCAGCUCUGAAUUUUUGGUUGCACCGCUAAUCAUCAUCCAUCUCAAAGAAUAGGCAAAAUCUGCAACAAUAUGAAUGGCCUUAGAAUUAACUGUUGCAAGAAUAAAGGAUGUACAUCUACAACUACAGCAGAAUUAACUGUUAUGAAUUUUUUUUGCAGGAGUGAACAUGAGCUUUGUAGUUCUAUGUUUAUUUUAUGGAGCAGUACUGGCAUUAUUAAAAACAAUCCUGUUAGUAUUAUCAUUUUUCAGGUCUUCAAGAAACACAUCUCUUCUGUGCUAGAUCUAGAUACGCCCCCGAGCGUAGUAUAAGUUAUUUGAAAUCGUGGAAAAGCAACCUGAAAAUUGUCUGAAGGCAUGAAGACCAGAAUUCAGAGUAAACGGUUGUAAAAUACCAAGAAGCACUUCAUGGAAUAUAUUUGAUUACUCAGCAUUAAACAACCAAACAAGAGUAGUAAAAAAUGACCAAGGAUGAUUUUAGCAGGCAUUUUAUGAAAAUAAUCUAGCCUCAUUGUACUGAACACUGAAAUGAAUCAUCAACUAAGAAUUUUAAAUUCCUGCUGAAAUCCUAUUGGGAUUCAAAUUUAGGGCAAAAGAAACCUUGCAUUGUUCAUCGAAGGGUAAAAUUCUCAGGGAAUCUUGAUUCUGGACCACUCAAAUAUCAUGGAGGUUGUACCAUAUCCAUUCAGUAAAAUCUAUAACAAAAGAAAUGUACGCAUACAUAUCAGGAUGAAAUUCCUCAUAUAGAUCAUUAUAACUAAGGCAACAAAUAAUAUUUCAGGCUAGUACCGUGUAUGCUUUAAUCAUAGUAUUUUUCACUGCAAAUAAUAUUUGCUCUUUGUCAAAACAUACGGGAAUGUAAGGAAAAAGUCAUACACAAGGGGAAGAGAAAAACGUAAUGUAACAUUCUUCAAGCCAAAUAAACAUUAGUAGAAUCCUACAGGAGAGACUCACCAUAAAAUUGGUUCCAUUCUUUGAAUAACCACUUCAUGCAAAAUCCCUUACAAUAUAUUCAGACCAAUCCAUCAACCAAAAAAUUGUAGUGUUCUUCACCACUGAACUCUGAUUCAAGAACUGAAGGGUAUGUCAAUUGCAUAUACUAUAUUGCAUGUUUUCAUCUGUCUUUUCCCCUCCAAAUGAUAAUUUUCUCCUUGCCAAAAGACACGAGAAUGCAAGCAAAAAGGUCCUGCAGAAAUAAGGUGAGAGAAAUGCAUCCUGUUACAGCCUUACAUGUGAAGCAAAAUAAGCAUUUUGUAGUAAGCAUAUAUGGUAAACUACAAUCUUCAGAUAACCACAUUGGGCAAUCAUUUACAAUCAAUUCAACCGACUAAUCAGUCAAUUCGACACCAGACAGUAAAGAUAAACACAAGUUACUAAAAACUUUUGAACCACAGAUGCCUUGUGCUUAAUCCAUAUAAUAAGACCCACGAGGCAAUGCAGAAUAAAAAUAGUAGCUCUAUAUCUUAACCAAACCACAGUGCAAAUAUUUUCCACAAAUAUCACAGUGAGCGGGAUAAGAACAACAUGAUAAAAACAGCAGCUCUGCAUCUUAAUCGGAAGUUCAUCCCUACCUCGACUCCCUGUCCGCCGCCACCUCCUCCUGGAUCUCAUCGCCGGUAGCACACCGCAGUCGGCCAGCCAGCAAUCAACACCAAAUGCACGUUGGCGCCAAACAAUGGACUUAAACCAGAAAGUUGGUCUAACAUUACAUCAUCAUGCAAAUAUAUGCACUGGAGGGUGGGUACCCAGUAAAAGGACACC
rnacentral:lncRNA from 1 species